UCCCUCCUGCCCACCUGCGGACCGAAUCUGCCCGCGAGCAUCCCGGGUCCCCGCGAAGCGCGCGGCGGCCGGCGACGGCGGGCCCAGGUUCGCGGACGGCGUGCGCCGGUCGCGGUCCGGCCGGGAGUGCGCAGCCCCGCCUCGCGGCCUCCGUAGUUCUGGCGGCGUGCGCAGCCCCCCGCCUCGCGGCCACCGUAGUUCCGGGGUCGGGGCCGGGGGCGGUUCCGCGGGCGGAAGUUGCUCUAGAACGGCGUGUGUGCGGUCGCCGGUGUCUCCGUGAACCAGAAACCUGCGGCCGGAGCGUUUGCCUGGUCUGUCAGUGAUGGCUGGGUUCGUGGCGCGGUGCCCCGGCUCGUGAUGAGACACCUGCGAGGUCAGCGUUCGCGCGCGUGGGCUCAGUGAGGAUGGCUGUGACCCUGAGGUUCAGGGGGUCGGCGUGGGACCGGCGCGCGGGGCUGUGUGCUCGCUGGCGGCGUGACGGUCGGGCCAGGGACGCGGACUCUGUGGGCUAGUAACGUUGGUCCGUGGCUGCGCAUUUGGGUCCUGAAGUUUGGAGAUGAGGAUCUGGUGAGUUUGAAAGCACUAUUCCAGAGAGUAUAAAGGGGAUGGAAGUUUUUGGUUGCUUGUGGUUUGUUUUCCACCGGGAAUAUGUGACACACCACGUCAUCCUGGUCAGGUGCACCGUCUGUGUGGGAAUUUAGCCUCCCCUCCCCCCAUAUUAAGAAAGACAGCCAGCGAGAGAGGAAACACAAGCAGGAGGAGUGGGAGAGGAAGGAGCAG